rnacentral:rRNA from 1 species
ACGGGUGAGUAACACGUAGGCAACCUGCCCUCAAGCUUGGGACAACUACCGGAAACGGUAGCUAAUACCGAAUACUUGUUUUCUUCGCCUGAAGGAAACUGGAAAGACGGAGCAAUCUGUCACUUGAGGAUGGGCCUGCGGCGCAUUAGCUAGUUGGUGAGGUAACGGCUCACCAAGGCGACGAUGCGUAGCCGACCUGAGAGGGUGAUCGGCCACACUGGGACUGAGACACGGCCCAGACUCCUACGGGAGGCAGCAGUAGGGAAUCUUCCGCAAUGGGCGAAAGCCUGACGGAGCAAUGCCGCGUGAGUGAUGAAGGUUUUCGGAUCGUAAAGCUCUGUUGCCAGGGAAGAACGCUUAGGAGAGUAACUGCUCCUGAGGUGACGGUACCUGAGAAGAAAGCCCCGGCUAACUACGUGCCAGCAGCCGCGGUAAUACGUAGGGGGCAAGCGUUGUCCGGAAUUAUUGGGCGUAAAGCGCGCGCAGGCGGUCAUUUAAGUCUGGUGUUUAAUCCCGGGGCUCAACCCCGGAUCGCACUGGAAACUGGGUGACUUGAGUGCAGAAGAGGAGAGUGGAAUUC